rnacentral:tRNA from 1 species
GGUGCAGUGGCUUAGCAGGUAAAGCCGCUGCCUGUGGCACAGGCACUCCAUAUGGGCUCCGGUUCAAGUCCUGGCUGCUCCA